rnacentral:lncRNA from 10 species
AGGCCCCACACUGUUUCAGGGCCAAACCGGCCCACGGAGAUGACGUCACACGAAGAAGCGGAAGUCCCGCCUCCGCCGCCCUGGCCCGCAGAAAACUCUCCUGUCCUGGGUCGUCAAUGGCCCAGAGUCCGCGGCCGACGCAAGGGGCAGUGCCUUCUGGGUAAUGCAGUUUUUCCCUUACAUCUACCGGGUGUGGGAACUCACCCAGCGCAUCCGACUGCACAAUGAAAAAAAGUAGUUUUCCUUUACAAUGAGGCUUGGCCCCCAGGGCGAUGGUGCCACAAGCCAGAUCACUGGGACCACUCAGAGAAAGGGAACACAGAAGCCUGGCAUGCCAGCAAAAAGCAGGGUUUUUGUGAGCAGUGUCUUGCACCAAACUCCUGUCUCCUCCUGUGACUUAGAAUGCCUAACUUCCUGGGAAUGCAGCACAGGUCUCAGCCUCAUUUUGCCCAGCCCCUAUUCAAGACGGAUUUGCUGUGGUUCAAAUGCUUCUGACAAUAUUCCUCAUGGUGAAUGCUGGAUUUUGCAUGCCCGAGGCCCUGGGCCACACUGUAUGUUUGCUUUUUGCAAGGGCUGUAUGGCUAUGACUAGUUAUGUGGACCCUGCAUUCCUAUGUAAAUGACCCUCCAUAAAAACCCCAGAAAUGAAUGCUUGAGUGAACUUCCCUGGCUUGUAUUAUAAUACUGUGAACAUCUUGUCACACAUCUUUGCUGGGGGAAUUAAGUGUGUCCCUAUGUGACCGUAAUGGGAGAUAACACCCAGAGUUUUGUGCCUGCUUUCAUGUGGACUUCAUUCUAUGUGAUUUUUCCCUUUGGUGAUCCUGGUCUAUAUCCUUUUAUUGUAAUAAACUAUAACCAUAACAGCUUUUCUGAGUCUUGUGUGUACUUCUAGCAAAUCAUGAAGCCUGAGGUAAGUAACCUAAAAUAUCAAGAUGAUUAAGGCCAUUCAUCCACGUAUCCAUUUAGCAGAUAUCUGAAUAUCUACUACUGACUAGGAACUAUGUGCAUGGAACAAUUAGGAUAAAAUCCAUAUUAACAUCUGUGCUCUUUUGAAGCUGGAAAUCUAGUUGGUGAGACAGUCAGGAG